rnacentral:rRNA from 1 species
CUCUGACUGGAGGAUAGCCCGAAGAAAUUCGGAUUAAUACUCCAUAAUACUAUGGACAGGCAUCUGUUCAUGGUUAAAGCCCCGGCGGUCAGAGAUGGGCAUGCGUGACAUUAGCUUGUUGGUGAGGUAACAGCUCACCAAGGCUACGAUGUCUAGGGGGUCUGAGAGGAUGGUCCCCCACACUGGUACUGAGACACGGACCAGACUCCUACGGGAGGCAGCAGUGAGGAAUAUUGGUCAAUGGGCGAAAGCCUGAACCAGCCAUGCCGCGUGAAGGAUGACAGCCCUAUGGGUUGUAAACUUCUUUUGUACGGGAAGAAACGCUUCUACGUGUAGAGGUUUGACGGUACCGUACGAAUAAGCAUCGGCUAACUCCGUGCCAGCAGCCGCGGUAAUACGGAGGAUGCAAGCGUUAUCCGGAUUUAUUGGGUUUAAAGGGUACGUAGGCGGGAGCUUAAGUCAGUGGUGAAAUCCUGCAGCUUAACUGUAGAACUGUCAUUGAUACUGGGCUUCUUGAAUGUAGUUGAGGUAGGCGGAAUGUGUAAUGUAGCGGUGAAAUGCUUAGAUAUUACACAGAACACCGAUUGCGAAGGCAGCUUACUAAACUACGAUUGACGCUGAGGUACGAAAGCGUGGGGAGCGAACAGGAUUAGAUACCCUGGUAGUCCACGCUGUAAACGAUGAUCACUCGUUGUUGGCAAUACACCGUCAGCGACUGAGCGAAAGCAUUAAGUGAUCCACCUGGGGAGUACGACCGCAAGGUUGAAACUCAAAGGAAUUGACGGGGGCCCGCACAAGCGGAGGAACAUGUGGUUUAAUUCGAUGAUACGCGAGGAACCUUACCUGGGCUUAAAUGUAGAACGACGGACCGGGAAACUGGUCUUUCUUCGGACGGUCUGCAAGGUGCUGCAUGGCAGUCGUCAGCUCGUGCCGUGAGGUGUCGGGUUAAGUCCCAUAACGAGC